UACGUAGGUGGCAAGCGUUGUCCGGAUUUCUUGGGUUUAAAGGGUGCGUAGGCGGUCCUAUAAGUCAGUGCUGAAAUAUCCCGGCUUAACCGGGAGGGUGGCAUUGAUACUGCAGGACUUGAGUAAAGUUGAGGUUGGCGGAAUUGACGGUGUAGCGGUGAAAUGCUUAGAUAUCGUCAAGAACACCUAUUGCGAAGGCAGCUAACUAAGCUUUAACUGACGCUGAGGCACGAAAGUGUGGGGAUCAAACAGG
rnacentral:rRNA from 1 species